CUUAGCCAUCAUCACCACUACCAACACCAGGAACAGCCAGUUUCAGGUUGCUCCUAGCUUGGACCCUGCUGUCAUGUGUAGAAUAACUAUUCAACUGAGGAAAGGUUAUGAAAAGUGAAAGUGGGAAGAGAAUGACUUAAAUGAACAGAGUACAGCAGAAGUGAUGGUGUGUGAUUGGGUCAUAAAAGGCAUUAUGGCUCUGGGGGAAUUCAACUGCCAUGUUGUGAGGACACUCAAGCAUCCCUAUGGGGAGGUCCAUUUGGGAAAGAACUGAGGCCUCUGGCAACAAUCAGUCCUAAUCUGCAAGGAGUGUAAACAAACUCUGGAAGCUGAUCCUCCAGUGCAGCCAAGCCUUCACAUGACUGCAGACUUGGCCAACAUCCAGACUGCAAUGUUAUGAGCCCCAAGGCAGAAUCACCCAUCUAAGCUCUCCAGGAUUCCUUACCCACUGCCCUGGAGGCAGAGAAAUGAUCUCCAAACUAUCAGGAGUCUCUUUUAGCUACUUGGAAGAAUGUCUCCUGACCACUCCUCCCUCUGUGUCUGUCUGAUGCCCAUCUCAGUACCUGAAGAGUCUGGAUGCACUGGGAGACCUUUGUUUGCAUCUUUAGAGCCCCCUUUGUGGUGAACUGAUCUUAGAGGCUGUGUGAGGGCUAAGAAACCCCCAGCAGAACUUGCUGCACUUAGGUGGUGGUGGGGCUGGAGUCAAUUUCUCUUAACCUGUUGGCCAAGGCUACAAUUACGGCUGUUUUCUUUAGCCCACUCCUUUUCCUUUCCUCCAGAACAGGGAAUUUAGGAGCUCCUAGUUUUUUGUUUACUCUUCCCCAUUAGCCUCUGUAUGGAAAGCCAACUGCCAAUGACCACUUCUGUUUCCAAGGGGAAGGUUUUAAAAAAAAUUUUUUUCCCCUGAGGGCCAUGAACAAAUUUAGGGUCUAAGGAGGAGGAGAAAUGAAUAAGUCCAGACCUCGGGUCUUUUAAAUAAGAUGAUAAAACAAGCAAUAGCUGCCACUCCGCAGCUCUCUAUCCCCACCCCCUCUCCAAAGGGGUUUGCAUUCUUCCGCUUGUAACGACUUCAUUGGUCGACUCCUUUUCUUCAGUACUUUUUUCCCCAUAGCUGCAUUAUGGCAAUAGCCCCCUCACUGGCCCCUAGUAGCCCAGGCAGCCUAGAAAAACCCUGUGGUAUCUUAGGCUCCCUCCAAAUCUGGGCGUCCUUUACCAGGGGGAGUGGGAGCAUGGUUCGCGGGUCUCAGUCCCACAGCUGAAGUCUGCGCUCUCUUACUUUACCUGAUUCUGUUCUGCUGGGCGGAAGACUUGUUUCCCUUGCAAGGAGCUGUUUCCAUGAUCCCACCUUGCACCUCAUACUGUCACAAAUGAGGCUCUCUUUAAAGAGCUGGGUAUGUUUGCGAGCAGAGAAUGAGGAAACUUGGCUUCCCUAGGGUGAAAAGGGCCAUAUCUGCGCAUAAAGGCUUCCUGCACUGGGACAUCUGCAACAUGCUCAGUGGUCCUAUUUAUUGGCUGGGGCUAAAGUAAUCUCGCCCAAUAUCUGGCCUGGGCCUCCCACCACUUUCCAUCCAGGUGAGGGGAAAAGGGAAGCCUGCAGGGCCUAAUUGAGUGGACCUCUCAGGGGUCCUACUGGUUCAAAAAGGACCUAGAAAGAAAAGAUGCUGAGGCUCCCUUUGAAUCACAGGCAGAGGUGAGAAGGAGACAAAUCCGAAUUCGUCUUGAUCAAAUGGAAAGACAGAUUUAAAAAAACACUAUUUGCUUGUGUCAUGCCAUCUGCUAUGAAAACGGCUCCCCGCCAGGGAGUCCUAUACACAUGCUCAAGGUGGGUCCUCUCCUGUCUUUCUAAUUUCACACUCUGGCUUCCUGAGUCCACGAUUGGAAAGGGAGAAGAGAGGGCAAGGGCGAGUCAGCAGCAUGGGGUUUAAUGGUGGUGCUCGCUAUGUGGGUGAUGCCAGGACAUUGGCAGUUGGGCCCCGUGAAUGAGUUUGCUUCUCUAGUUUGCUUGUGGACACCUUUAAGCCCGAAAGGUGGUGCCUCUGAGGACACUUGUCCAGGAAACACAUGCCUACACGCAGAGGAACAGGUGCUGCUGGUCUGGAUCCUUCCUGGAGA